CGUGCGUGUGUGUGUGUGUGUGUGUGUGUGUGUGUGCGCCAUGCAUCGCCAUGCAGGCA
rnacentral:miRNA from 1 species